UAUUUUUACCAAAUGAAUGAAAUAAAUCUAAUGCAAGAUCCUGGCAUCCCUAUUAUGGAAGCUGUUGCCAAAAGAAAAAAAAAAGCUUUAAGCCCUUUGGCUUUUAUAUUUUUAUUCUGGAUGAGGGGCCCAGUGGUGAAGCCACAUUUCCUUGGUUUUAAGAUACAAUCCAUUUUAAGAUAUGCCAUUACUUUAAUAACAAUUCUAAUUAGGGAGGGGAUGCUGCCCGCAUCAAAUGGGCUCCAAGAGGCCACCCUUUCUUUGCUCAGAAACGCUAACAUGUGCCUUUGGGAACAGAGGAAUUAUGGGGUGGAACCUGGUCAGUGCUGGUGGAAUGACCUCACUGGUACAGUUGACAGUGGCAAAUCUUUGUCAGUUCAGGGGCAGAUAGAAGUCAUUAUUGGAAAUGUACUUUUGAGCAGAGUUAAAGCUUAGUUUUUGCAUUAUUUGUGCAAUCUGUAUCUGUUUCCUUUUGAGGGCAGGGAAAGUGGUUAUUCAUUUUUGUCUGGGAAAAAAGGAGUGAAAGACACAAAAUGUUUUAUGAAAAUUGAUCUUCUUUUAUGACUAUAUGAAGGGAAUGUCCUUCCAAUGAAAUAAGUGAGUUAUAUGCACAAUUUUGCAUAUACUUGCAUUUUUCUGAAGUUCAUAGAUUCCUUUAGAUUUUCAAAUGGGAUCACAGCCUUCAAAAUGUUUUUAAAUUUUUAAUUAGUAAUUCAGUCAAACUUCUUUAAAAUGUUUUUAAAUUUUAAUUACUAAUUCAGUCAAAUUUCUUUAUAAACCAAGGCUUGUGGCGGGGGGGGGGGGGGGCGGGGGUUAAGUAAAUUUACCCCACCAUAGAACACAUAGUAAAGUAUCUUUGAAGUUAUUUAUUUAUUUAUUUUUUGAGGUAGAGUUUCGCUCUUGCUGCCCAUGCAGGAAUGCAAUGGUGUGAUCUCAGCUCACCACAACCUCUGCCUCCUGGGUUCAAGUGUUUCUCCUGCCUCAGCCUCCCAAGUAGCUGGGAUUACAGGCAGGCACCACCACGCCCAGCUAAUUUUGUAUUUUUCUUUUUUUUAGUAGAGACAGGGUUUUUCCAUGUUGGUUAGGCUGGUCUUGAUCUCCCAACCUCAGGUGAUCUGCCCGCUUCGGCCUCCCAAAGUGCUGGGAUUACAGGCGUGAGCCACUGCACCCAGCCUGAAGUUAUUUUUAAAAGUUUGUUUUGUCAUCUGGAAAAUGACCAAGUUUCCCUUGUGGUCCAGUCAAUCCUCCGUAUCCAUGGGUUCUACAUCCAUGGAUUCAACCAACUGAAGCUCAAAAAUAUUAGGGAAAAAAGUUGUUUCUGUACUGCACAUAUAGACAUUUCUUUCUGUUAUUGUUCCUUAAGCAAUACAGUAUAAUGGCCAUUUACACAGCAUUUACUUUGUAGUAAGUAUUACAAGUAAUCUAGAGAUGAUAAAAGUAGACAGAAGGAUGCACAUAGUUUAUAUGCAAAUGCUACUCCAUUUUAUAUCGGGGACUCGGGCAUCCAUGGAUUUUGGUAUUCCAAAGAAGGUCCUGGAACCAAUUCCCCACGGAUAUCAAAGAACAACUGAAUUGACUUUAGUAUUCACUAUCUAUCUUCCUAAGAACUAAGCCAAUGUCUCUUGAAAUAGAGUGUUCAGGCCUCCACUGGCAUCACAAUCAUUUAGAUGAACUCGUUGAAUCACGUGAUCAGACAGGGACCCACAGCCUCACACCUUAGGGGUGGAUAUAUGACCAGGCCUGGCCAACCAGCAUGCUCCCUCAACCUCAGACCCCCUACUUGGGAGGCUGAGAUGGGAGGAUUGCUUGAACCUAGGAGGUUGAGUCUGCAGUGACCCAUGAUCCUAUCACUGCACUGGGCAACGGAGCAAGACCCUAUCUCCAAAAAAAAAAAAAAAAAAAAGCAAAAUCUCACUUUGGGGAGGUAGAAAUCUAAGGAAACAGAAGAAUUGAUUCAGAGACUCAUUUGGCCUCAUAACAGCACCCCAUCUCAUCCUGCGUUGCUCCGUAUAGCCCAGUAAUUCUCAGAUUGUGCCCAGGUCAUGAAAUGGAGAAAUCGUUAUUCACCAGGUCUCAUCUUGGGCCAGAAGACUUUCCUUGGAGUGAAAAUACUAGAAGUGUGCUUGGGUUAGAAACAGAGACUCCGGAGGGCCCUAGGAAGAAGUGGAAGGUUUUGAGUGGGGCAGAGAAGGUAUUUAUCAUGGGGGGAGCCAGGGAGAAGUCAAACCAUGGAUCUGAUGAGAAACUGCGGGUGAUAAUGUAAUUGUCCUGCACACCCCAUCCCCAGAUUUUUGGUAAAACUCCUGGACUCCCAUGAUGCUUGGUGAAGGCACUGGUGGAGUCUCCAGUUCCUGCUGAUGUGGGGAAGCAACUUGUGCGGCCACAGGCAUGUGGAGGAAGAGAAAUGAAAGGAAUGAGGUGCUCAUAGACUUCUUGGCACAUUUGCGAAUGAACUACAAGAGGUUUUGGAAACUUCCUCUUCACCUUUCUCCAGUUCUACCACCAAUCUGGGGGUUCCCCACACUCCCAGCUUUCUCUCCAAGGUCUGACCUCCUUUGGUAGUUAGCUUUUGUUUCUUUCACUUAAUCAUCCAUCUGACAAUCCUCUCAAUUUUCCUUCAGGGUUAACUACCUCUCAUAUCAAAGUCAAGUAGUUUGGGUGGUGUUGACUCCACCCUCACCUGUGUUUUGGUUGGGCCAAUCAGAUAAUCCCAUCCUUCUGGCCACAGUGAUUGGUUCAGAGAUAAACAUGUGACUCAAUUUGGGCCAAUGAGGCUAUUACAUAAUUAAAUUGAGACUUGAAUUGUGCUUUUUAAAAGAUUAUGUGACCAUAUGUAGCUUGAACAAGCGCCAACUUCGAGAAAAGUGGUCUUUUUACAAUCCCUUUCUAUUAGGUUAGGACUCUGUUAUUUCUUGCUGAGAGGCUUGCAUUCCUCCAACUUCUGUGCUUCUUGGGAAGAGUAUACCUUGGACAUUUUCAGUUGUGCUUCUGUGCCACCUGAACUCCACAUGUGACUUCAUUGGCUGAGACCUCAGCUGCGGCCAUCUGCUGAAAUAUUUCCAAGUGGUUUCUCCAGGGAGCUUGGGCUUCCUCACAACAUGGUGGCUGGGUUCCAAAAGUGAGUGUUCAGAGAGAGGUAGGAAUGGGGAUAAUGGAGAGGAAGAAAGAUAAACAGAAAAAGAUAGCACUGAACGCUAGGCAGAAGCUGUAUUCUUUUUAUGACUUAACCUCGGAAGUCAGAGAAUCCCUUUUGUCAUAUUCCAUUCAUUAAAAGUAAGUCAUGGCCCGAUGCCAUGGCUCAUGCCUGUAAUCCCAACACUUUGGGAGACUGAAGUGGGAAGAUUAUUUGAGCCCAAGACUUAGAGAUCAGCCUGGGCAACAUAGUGAGACCCUGUCUCUGCAAAAAUAAAAAUAAAAAUUUAGCCAGGCAUGCUGGUGCACACCUACAGUCCCAGCUACUUGAGAGGCUGUGGUGGGAGAAUUGUUCGAGCCCGGGAGUCGAGGCUGCAGUGAGCCAUAAUCGUGCCACUGCAUUCCAACCUAGCCAACAAAGCAAGACCCUGUCUCAAAAAAGAAAAGUAAUAUAAGUCACUAAGUCUGACCUACAUUCAAGGAGAGAGAAAUUAGACUCCACCUUUUGGAAGGAGGAAGGCCAAAUAAUUUGCAAACCUUUUUAAAAACUGCCACAUAGGGUCAUUGUGGGGAGCAACCUUACCCUGUUGGUUGUGAGAUCUGCUUCUGUGUGGUGUCCAAGACCCUGCAAAACUCCAUCAGCAUCUUUUGAAACCACCCAAGGACAGUAGGUUUUUGGCAAAGCUUCUUUCUCACAAAGACAGGUGUUCAUAGCAUCUCCUGUAAUGUCAUUUUCUUGGUUAUAGAAAGUUUGGGAGCAAAGUUCACAAGCAAAUCUAUGGCCACCUCAUGCCAUUUAAUUAUUUCUGGAACAUUACUCCUGGGGGGAGGUAUAGGUAACCAUGCUGCCUCCUCUGCUUGCAAUAUCUCUGCCCCUUUUUUGUGUGUGCUUGGCAGGCUCUAUUCAUCCUUUAAGGCCCACAAUUCAAACCUAUCCUUUUUUUAGAGAGAUAGAGAUAGGAUCUCACUCUGUUGCCCAGGCUGAAGUGCUGUAGUACGACCAUGGCUCACUGCAGCCUCAACCUCCUGGGCUCAAGCAAUCCUCCCACCUCGGCUUCCCUAGUAGCUGGGACUACAGAUGUGCACCAGCACAGCUAGCUAGUUUUAAAAUAUGGGGUAGAGACAAGGUCUUGCUAUGUUGCUCCGGCUAGUCUCAAACUCCUGGGCUCAAGUGAUCAUCCUACCUUGACCUCCCAAAGUGCUGGGAUUACAGGUGUGGAGCCACUGCACCUGGCUGCAUGUCCUCUUGGAGAUAUUCUAGGGUGCCCCCAAGUGGAGUUGGUUUGUCCACAGUCCAUUAUUUGCAUGUCCAUCACAGCACCAAAGAGUCUAUCUAUCAUCUUGUCUUCUAGACAACGAGUUUCCCUAAGGGAGGAAUCUUGUCCUAUCCUCACCCUCAAAUAUAGCAUCUAGAAUGUGCUAGGUGUUUAUAUUCCAUACAUAUCGGUUCAGAGGAGCUUGGAAAAAUGGACAAUUGUUUUAGGCUGGCAUCUUCCAACACGGGAUGUGUGCAAGCUGAAGUUCGUGAGAUCCUACAAAAGAAGGUUUUGUGUUAAAUAAGUUGAACGAAAUCUGCUUGUUUUAAUUUCAGUCUCAGAGGCUCAUAUCAACACUUGAAUGGAGCCAGUGUGGUGUAGGGUUUUAAAAAUGCGAGCUCUGGGGUUAGCAUUGAUUUGAAUUCUGGCCACACCCUUGUUCAAGUCACUAAACACAUGUGCCUCAUUUUUCUUAACUAUAGGAUAGCAAUCACGUUCUGAAUCCUUACCUCAUAGAGAUGUUAAUGUUGAGAGAAUAAACUAAAAUAUUUCAUGAAGGACACUUAGAUGUGUUGGGAAUUCAAUAACUACUAGGUAAUAAAAUUGUCAUUAAAGGCUCUGAGAAGUCCUGUAACAAUAAUCACAGCAUUUUUCCAACUUAUUUGAUGGUGGAAUUAUUUUUUUUCACAUCACACUUAAUGAGCAAGAAGCAUGGCAUACAGGGGAUUAGAGGUAGAUUAUGCCCCAGGAAGCAGCAGGACCUUUACUGGCAAUUUCUAAAGGAUCAGUGAAACCUGUAUAAAACUGGCACUGGUUUGGAAGAACUUAUACAUUAGCAACAGACAAGAUGAUCAUUUGUAUUGUGUGAAGGUCUAGAAUAUGCCAUUGUUUCUAUGUAGGACCUUUCUGUAUCAUCUCAAGAGAGAUAUAAUGGCAUUAGAGAAGGCUGAUUUUAGAGGGCACAAGGGUGAGGAGAGAGCAAAGACCAGUGCUGGAUGCUUCAGACUGGGAGAGUGUUGUCUAAAGAGAACAUAAUCUAUCUAAAUAUUUUUUUUUAAUACUUUAAGUUCUGGGAUACAUGUGCAGAACAUGCAGGUUUGUUACAUAGGUAUACAUGUGCCAUUGUGGUUUGCUGCACCCAUCAACCCGUCAUCUACAUUAGGCAUUUCUCCUAAUGCUAUCCCUCCCCUUGCCCCCCACCUCCUGACAGGCCCUGGUGUGUGAUGUUCCCCUCCCUGUGUCCAUGUGUUCUCAUUGUUCGACUCCCACUUUUGAGUGAGAACAUGAGGUGUUUAGUUUUUGUUCCUGUGUUACUUUGCUGAGAAUGAUGUCUUUCAGCUUCAUCCAUGUCCCUGCAAAGGACAUGAACUCAUCAUUUUAUGUCUGCAUAGUAUUCCAUGGUGUGUAUGUGCCACAUUUUCUUUAUCUGGUUUAUCACUGAUGGGCAUUUGAGUUGGUUCCAAAUCUUUGCUAUUGUGAAUAGUGCUGCAAUAAACAAACGUGUGCAUAUGUCUUUAUAGUAGAAUGAUUUAUAAUAUUUUGAGUAUAUACUCAGUAAUGGGAUUGCUGGGUCAAAUGGUAUUUCUGGUUCUAGAUCCUUGAGGAAUCGCCACACUCUCUUCCACAAUGGUUGAACUAAUUUACACUCUCACCAACAGUGUAAAAGCGUUCCUAUUUCUCACAUCCUCUCCAGCAUGUGUUGUUUCCUGACUUUUUAAUGAUCCCUGUUCUAACUGGCAUAAGAUGGUAUCUCACUGUGGCUUUGAUUUGUAUUUCUCUAGUGACCAGUGAUGAUGAGCUUAUAUUCAUAUGUUCAUUGGCUACAUAAAUGUCUUCUUUUGAGAAGUGUCUGUUCAUAUCCUUCACUCACUUUUUGAUGGGGUCUUUUUUUGUUUCGUUUUGUAAAUUUAAGUUCCUUGCAGAUUCUCGAUAUUAGACAUUUGUCAGAUGGAUAGAUUGCAAAAAUUUUCUCCCAUUCUGUAGGUUGCCUGCUCACUCUGAUUAUAGUUUCUUUUGCUGUGCCUAAGUUCAUUAGUUUAAUUAGAUACCAUUUGUCAAUUUUGGCUUUUGUUGCAAUUGCUUUUGUUGUUUUAGUCAUGAAGUCUUUGCCCAUGCCUAUGUCCUGAAUGGUAUUGCCUAGGUUUUCUUCUAGGGUUUUUAUGGUUUUAGGCCUUACAUUUUGGUCUUUAAUCCAUCUUGAGUUAAUUUUCAUAUAAGGUAUAAGGAAGGGGUCCAGUUUCAGUUUUCUGCAUAUGGCUAGCCAGUUUUCCCUACGCCAUUUAUUAAAUAGGGAAUCCUUUGCCCAUUUCUUGUUUUUGUCAGGUUUGUCAAACAUCAUAUGGCUGUGGAUGUGUGAUGUUAUUUCUGAGGCCUCUGUUCUGUUCCAUGUGUCUAUAUAUCUGUUUUGGUACCAGUACCAUGCUCUUUUGGUUACUGUAGCCUUGUAGUAUAGUUUGAAGUCAGGUAGCGUGAUGCCUCCAGCUUUGUUCUUUUUGCUUAGGAUUGUCUUGGCUAUAUGGGCUCUUUUUUGGUUCCUUAUGGAAUUUGAAGUAAUUUUUUCUAACUCUGUGAAAAAAGUCAGUGGUAGCUGGAUGGGAAAAGCAUUGUAUCUAUAAAUUACUUUGGGCAGUAUGGCAAUUUUCAUGAUACUGAUUCUUCCUAUCCAUGAGCAUCAAAUGUUUUUCCAUUUGAUUGUGCCCUCUGUUAUUUCCCUGAGCAGUGGUUUGUAGUUCUCCUUGAAGAGGUCCUUCACAUCCCUUGUAAGUUGUAUUCCUAGGUAUUUUAUUCUCUUAGUAGCAACUGUGAAUGGAAGUUCACUCAUGAUUUGUCUGUCUGUUUGUCUGUUAUUGGUGUAUAGGAAUGCUUGUGAUUUUUGCAUAUUAAUUUUGAAUCCUGAGAAGAUACCACCUGAGGAUGCAUGAUAUUGAUAAGAGCGCUUGUCCUCAAACUUGGCUGUAAUCCCAGCACUUUGGGAGGCUGCAGCAGGAGGAUCUCUUGAGCGGAAAGCAUGUGACCUGCAAUGUUCUCUUUGUUCCAGGCAUUGGUUACACCAGGAUGUUCACUUUGUGGAAAUUCGUCUACCUGUACAAUGCUAUUUGUGCACAUUUCUAUAUAAAUGGUGUACUUUAAUAAAAAGCUUUUUAAAAAGACCGAAAGGUAGACAAACAAACAUAGGAAAUUAUUAGUCUUACAGACAAUACUAACUGAAAGCUUCAGUGGAUCCCAAAAGGUUUUAGACAAUUCGCAAAUGAGAUUUCUUAAUGGCUUCUAAGAGACUGGGGAUACUAAUUCCUGACAGAAGUUUUGCUUGAACAGAGGAGACCUCUUCCAAGGGGUCAUUUACAAUAGCAAGUGCAAACGAAAUGUCAAGAAUCUGCAAAUCUCGGUGACUUAUCGCUUUGGCGGAAAAGAAGAUGUGCCACAGGAGCACCUCAGGUGCAUCUUCACCUUCAGGUAGGAACCAAACAGCACACCGGUGGCAUUUGCUCUGGGUGUAUUUCACAGUAAGCUUUGCAACGCACUUGCUUCUUUAACAGGUGAAUGCAUAUGUCAUCAUCAUCAUCAGGAGUUACUCUAUUUUUUGACACACAGUGCCCUUGCACAAAAUAAGUCAUUUCAGGUAAACCCUCCUCCCAUGUCCCUCAGAGUCAAAUUCAAAGUCUUCAUGGGGUUCCCAUAUUCUUCCUGAUCUGGCCUUGUCUUAUCUUGCUGAUGUCACCUCUAACCUUCCAGCCACACUGGUCCCUUGCUGCUCCUGGGACACUGUAGGUGUGUUCCCACCUUGGGACUUGGCACUGCCUAGCCCUUCUGCUUGGAACACCCUCCCGCCACAUAUCCUAUUGUCUAAUUCACUCGACCCCUCCAAAUCUUUGCUUUAAUGUCACCAGUUUAACGGGUCCUACCCUGACUACCCUGUCCUUUCUUACCACCACUACUUUAAUCCCCUCAAAUAUUCAGAGGCUAAGGACGUUUUAAGCACUGUAUCUAAAGUGGCAGAGAUGGCAUUUCAAUGGUAAAGGCCAGCCGCUAAGACCAGUACUGUUGAACUCUGGGCCUCCAAUCCCUGGACUGUAUUAAGGGGGUUGAGCUGGAAGAGGCUCAAUGUUUUGCCAGUCCUUUGAACCGGGAACCCUUGAGUUUCAAAUCUGCUAUUGCCCCACCAGACAGCUGCCUCUGCCUCUGCCCAAGGUCACGGAUUGACAGUGAGACAACUGGGACGGACACCCUGACUUACCUGGAGAAGAGGUUAGAAUAGUGGGAGGGAACCUGGGGAAUCUAGCCCCUCUCUUCCUUCCCUCUCUCUCUUUGGUCGGCCCCAGAAAAAGUGGGUGAAAGUCCGCCUUCCCCAUUUGGGUGGAGGCAUAGCACAGGAAAGAUGACUUUAACUAAAGCUGAGAGACCAGGAGGACGAUGUGAUUUCUGAGGCCAUGGCAUGAGGCGCCAUGAGUCUGGGGGUGGUGGCUGUCCAGUCCUGCUCUG
rnacentral:lncRNA from 1 species